CAAGUUGAUGAAGAAGACCUCGUCGCCUACAUGAUCGCCGGACUCGAUUCUGAUUACGAGCCAGUGGUGUCAGCCCUUGCCGCACAGAAGGAACCAGUCACCGUAGCAGAGCUCUAUGGGCAGCUGCUAGGGUUUGAAG